rnacentral:rRNA from 1 species
AACGAACGCUGGCGGCGUGCUUAACACAUGCAAGUCGAACGGAAAGUCCCGGCUUUUGGGGUGUGCUCGAGUGGCCAACUGGUGACUAACCCUUGAGUAACCUGCCCUUGACUUUGGGAUAACUUCAUGAAACUGGGGCUAAUACCGGAUAGGGGUUCCUGCUGCAUGGUGGGGGUUGGACAGUUUUGUCGGUUGGGGGUGGACUCGCGGCUUAUCAGAUUGUUGGUGGGGUAGUGGCUUACCAAGGCUUUGACGGGUAGCGUGCCUGAGCGGGUGACCGGCGCAAUUAGGCCUGGGCUACGGCACAGACCACACUGGGACGGAGGAGUGGGGAAUAGUGUACAAGGGGAGGAACCCUGAUGUAGUACAGCCGUGCGCGGGAUGAGGGCAUUCGGGUUGUAAACUGAUUCUGCUUGGGCCGAAGCGUGAGUGACGGUAAUGGGUAAAGAAGCCCCGGCUAACUACGUG